rnacentral:rRNA from 1 species
GACGAACGCUGGCGGCGUGCCUAAUACAUGCAAGUCGAACGCAGUGGGGCCGGGUGAGUAACCCGUGGGUAACCUCCCCUCAGAGGGGAUAACACUUGGAAACAGGUGCUAAACCGAUACUGCUGGAUUGCCCCGCGGUGAAGUAGCUAGUUGGUGAGGUAACGGCUCACCAAGCGCACGAUGCAUAGCCGACCUGAGAGGGGCAUCGUCCACACUGGGACUGAGACACGUCCCAGACCCCUGCGGGAGGCAGCAGUAGGGAAUCUGCGGCAAGUGACGAAAGUCUGACCGAGCAACGCCGCGUGAGUGAAGAAGGUUUUCGGAUCGUAAAACUCUGGUGUUAGAGAAGCGGUAUCUAACCAGAAAGCCACGGCUAACUACGUGCCAGCAGCCGCGGUAAUAC